CCCCUUCCAAAAUGUCAAAGAGUUCUUCGCGGAUCUCACCCAGACCUCAGGGGCUAUGGACGUCAGCCCUGUGGUGAGGGACAUCAUGAUGAAUCGAACCUUCACCAUCAUCAGUCUUCAUUUUGCCGACUUUGGGACCGAAGAUUGGGUGUCCUGGUUCACGGUGAAACUGAUCCAUCUCCUUCCCAGCCUGACUGCAGAGAUGCUCCAGACAGCAACGUUAAACACCGACUGCAACGAAUACCACCUCAUCGUUGGGGCUCUGAGCGCG